UACGAGGGGGGCGAGCGUUGUUCGGAAUUAUUGGGCGUAAAGGGUGCGUAGGCGGUUUGGUAAGUCUUGUGUGAAAUCUCCAGGCUCAACUUGGAGUCUGCACGAGAAACUGCCGGGCUUGAGUGUGGGAGAGGUGAGUGGAAUUCCUGGUGUAGCGGUGGAAUGCGCAGAUAUCAGGAGGAACACCGAUGGCGAAGGCAGCUCGCUGGGACGGUACUGACGCUGAGGCGCGAAAGCGUGGGGAGCGAACAGG
rnacentral:rRNA from 1 species